rnacentral:rRNA from 1 species
CAUGUAGGCGGCAUGACAAGUCUGGUGUGAAAUAUCUCGGCUCAACCGAGAAAACGCACUGGAAACUGUCAAGCUUGAGUAUCGGAGGGGAAGCUAGAAUUCCUGGUGUAGGGGUGAAAUCUGUAGAUAUCAGGAAGAAUACCGGUGGCGAAGGCGAGCUUCUGGCCAGAUACUGACGCUGAGAUGCGAAAGCGCGGGGAGCGAACAGGAUUAGAUACCCUGGUAGUCC